AGUACCAACAUAACGCCACAAAAAGAUCGAAAUUCGAAUAUACGUAACCCGCGAAAAUUCAAAAUUCGCGAUACUUUUUGAACACACCUCGUAUAAUAAUGUUAGACAUUUUAUUUUUCUAGGGAAUUUAAAGUCUAUUUUCUCCUCUAGAUAGUGUUACGUAUUUUAUGUUUUUCUUCUCAUUAAAAUUCACUUAUGGCUUUAGUCACGGGCGGACUCUUGAGGAUGGGAAGCAUCUAUUUGGACACAAACCAUUCACUGCGCUUGAAUAGAAGAAAAUUACUAGGCACCAGCCGCUGUGAUUGGCUGUGUCUAAUUGUACUGUGUCCAAAUGGAUGCUUCCCUUUGAGGACUAUAAUUCCGUAUUAAUAAAAGUCUAUGUUUUACUGUUUUGUAUUAAGUAUAUUUCUUUCUGCAAUUUCUCAUCUGCAUCUCUUGCUGAGCUCCAACAGGUUAUGGGCCCAGUUACCGUAUAAGAGAAGAGAGGAGUGAAUUAAUUUAUACAGAAGAGAACAGAGAAAUCAAAGAGGCCGAGUGCAAACAUUUUCUUUUUAAGACUGUGUAAGAAAACUUUGUGUGUGAUAGUGAUUCACGGAACAAAACCAGCUUAAGAUGACAAAAGAAUUAGAAACCUUGCACAUGACGAAAUUUGAUGAGUGAAACUAUCAACAAUGAAAGUUUUAGUUGAUGUGUGCUCUAUAUGCAAAGGAAGUAAGCGACAUAGUAAAAAGAAUUUUGCUGAAAUUACAGACACAACAAGACAACAAACUAAAGAAUUGGAUCAAAAAGGACGCCGCUGCCAUAAUACUUUUUGCUAUGAAAUUUUUAUAAGUAAUGUUGUUACAGAAUUAUGCGAGCUUGAAAGAAAUUCUAGAUGAUUUAAGCUGGAUUUGAUUUACGAAAAACAGAAUUAAACAAAAUGCUUGUGCACGAAAAGUUCAAUACAGGAUAGAAAAGAGUGAUUCAAUCUUGCAACACAUAGCUAAAGUCUAAAAUUUUGUCUGCAAAAUACAAAACAAAGGAGAACCAAUUAGCGGGAGUGUCAGUAUGACGAAGAUACUGGGAAGUUUUUUAAUCAAAUACACUUUGGCAGUGGGGCUCUCUAAUUAGACAAAGACAAAAAGAAGAAUCCCAGAAAAAGUCAAUUAAAACCCACAGUAACGUGUCUCAACUGCGGACAGAAAGUACAUUUUGCGGAAAACUAUCGUCCAAAAAAAAAAUAGAUACCGAAAAUAAUAAAGACAAUAGUGACAGAAAGAGUGGAUGUGAAAAUAAUUGUGAAACCAAUGACAGCAAAUUGAAGACCGAUCUACUUAGAAAUAUUUCGACAUUUAAUACGGAGUACAACGGUAGGUUCUCAGAUACAUCUCUGGAAGAAUCAUGGAUAAUGGACAGCGGAGCAUCAAUUUGAGUUAUCGUUUUUCUUUACAUUUCAAGAAAUACUAAAUUAAAAGGUAACUGUAUAUAGAUAAUAAUCAGACAAUUCCCGUCAAAGAAUUAGAUAUACAAUUGAUACCUUACCUUACCCAUGUAUAUCCAUAUGCGUAUGCGUUUAUACAGGAUACGUUAUAUGCAUUAUAUGAAAAUAUAGGAGAAAAGGACUGUACGAGGAAGGCAUUAAUGACCGCUUGUGUAUAAUAAAGUUUGAAAACUGGUUGAACGGUAAAUGGUACGAGUCAACAAUAAAUGACGUACUCUAUAUUUUGGAUUAAAAGAAGAACCUCUUUUUAGAGGGUGUUGUUACAAAAAAGAAAUGAAGAUUAUCAGAUAAAAUAACAAGGCUGAGAUCUUCCACAAACGAAACUUAUUGUUAGUAGCCAUCACAGGCAGAAUAUCAAAUAAUCUCUACCGAAUAUUAUUCGGGACUAACCUAUCAAGCGAAACGAAUGUAACCACGAGUGAAACUGUGCAAGUAUAGUACUGGAGAGACUGGGACACAUAAAUGAACAUUACGUGAAAUGGUGAGUAAGAAUCUAGUUCAAGAAAUAAAAUUUUUAAAUACAAACUCCGACUUCUUUUGUGAAUUGUGUGUGCAAAGUAAGCAACACAGAUUAUCAUUCUUACGAUCGAACGAAAAGUUUCUGCUAAAGCCCGGUGAGAAAAUUAACAUGAUAAUUUUUGUGGAUCCAUAUUGACGCAAUUGGAGGCUCGAAAUUUUGUAUUCAAGAACGCCUACAGUGGUUACAGAAUCGUGUAUUUUGUGAGACAUAAGUCUGACGUAUUUGAGAAUUUUAGAGAUUUUGUAGUAGAAACGGAAAAUAGAUUUCAAUAAUCAGUGAAGGUUCUUCAUGCCGAUAAUGGCACAGAAUAUUGCCACGAGGAAAUAAAGAAAUUUAUGAAGAAGAAAGGAAUCAGCCAUAAAACGAUAUUUUUCUAUACAUUAGAGCAAAACGGAGAGCUGAAAGGGAUAUGAGAAAGAUCAUAGAAAGCAUUCGUUUUAUACUAAUCACCAACGAUUUGUUAAGGUAUCUUUUGGCAGAAGUCGUUAAUACGGCUGUAUAUAUUUUAAAUAGAAUAUUUUUGAGUUAAAUGUGUAAUUUGUGUCGAGUUAUUAAAGUUGUUCUGUUUUUAAAGUGCCUCCUUUCUUUCUUGGUAAGUGCAAGUACUUUUCCCGAACCUGAGCGUAGCAUUUACUUGAGCGUAGCAUUAAUCAUUCAAGUCCCAAGUUUAACUUUAUAAGAAUUAUGAAUUGGCAGAAAGCCAAUAUUAUCACAUUUAAAGAUAUUUAGUAGGCAUACAUGCAAGUUCCGAAACAAUUUAAAGACAAAUUCUCUUCAAAAUCAAUACUGAUGAUUUUUGUUUGUUAGUGAUGAUUCCUUAAAUCAUUGUCUCUUCAAUCCUGUGAGGAAGAACAUUAAGAUAUCCAAAGAUAAUGCUCAAUGAAACUACUAAAAUACAAGUUUGAGAAAAAUAAUCAACGAAUAUUGACAAUAUGGAUGAAAUAAUCAAGACAUCAACGAACAUUCACUAACUGAAGAUUAUCCGGAAGAACAACAAUACAUUGAAGAUCAACGGGUCGAAGAAUCUCAAAUUGAAAAUCCAAAGCAAUCCACCAAAAAGGGAUGAUUACUACCGAGAAAGAAAUUACAUCCUCUAGCAAAAUAUGAAGCAGAUGUAAGCGAACUGAAUGUUCUAGAAACAUACAAGGAAGCCACC